rnacentral:rRNA from 1 species
CUGGUUGAUCCUGCCAGUAGUCAUAUGCUUGUCUCAAAGAUUAAGCCAUGCAUGUCUAAGUAUAAACAUCUUUAUACAGUGAAACUGCGUACAGCUCAUUAUAUCAGUUAUUAUUUAUUUGAUGGUACCUUACUACAUGGAUACCCGUAGUAAUUCUAGAGCUAAUACAUGCGUAAAGUCCCGACUUUUUGGAAGGGAUGUAUUUAUUAGAUUAAAAACCAAUGCAGGCAACUGCUCCUUUGGUGAUUCAUAGUAACUUUAACGGAUCGCACGGCUUCACGCUGGCGACAGUUCAUUCAAAUUUCUGCCCUAUCAGCUUUCGACGGUACUGUAGUGGACUACCGUGGCAUUAACGGGUGACGGAGAAUUAGGGUUCGAUUCCGGAGAGGGAGCCUGAGAA